rnacentral:rRNA from 1 species
MAWMAAGYCGAGCGGCAGACGAGACGCGUCCUUCGAGACGAGCGGCGCACGGGUGAGUAACGCGUGGGAAAUCUGCCUUGGAGUGGGGGAUAACCACUGGAAACGGUGGCUAAUACCGCAUACGUCCUACGGGGGAAAGUAUUUAUCGCUCAGAGAUGUGCCCAGCGUCGGAUUAGGUAGUUGGUGGGGUAAUGGCUCACCAAGCCGACGAUCCGUAGCUGGUCUGAGAGGAUGAUCAGCCACACUGGGACUGAGACACGGCCCAGACUCCUACGGGAGGCAGCAGUGGGGAAUAUUGGACAAUGGGCGCAAGCCUGAUCCAGCCAUGCCGCGUGAGUGAAGAAGGCCUUCGGGUUGUAAAGCACUUUCAGUGGUGACGAUGAUGACGGUAACCUCAGAAGAAGCCCAGGCUAACUUCGUGCCAACAGCCGCGGUAAUACGGAAGGGGGCUAGCGUUGUUCGGAAUUACUGGGCGUAAAGCGCGCUUAGGCGGUGUGCAUAGUCAGGGGUGAAAUCCCGGGGCUCAACCYCGGGAAUUGCCUUUGAUACUGGCACGCUUGAAUCCSUGAGARGGUGGUGGAAUGGC